rnacentral:rRNA from 1 species
UGCAGAAUCCCGCGAACCAUCGAGUCUUUGAACGCAAGUUGCGCCCGAGGUCUUUCGGCUGAGGGCACGCCUGCCUGGGCGUCACGCAAAACACGCUCCCAAACCCCUCGUUUGGGAAUGGGAUGCGGCAUUUGGCCCCCCGUCACGCAAGGGUGGUGGGCCGAAGAUAUGGCUGCCGGCACAUCGUGUCGGGCACAGCGCGUGGUGGGCGUCCUCGCUUUACUUACCGCAGUGCAUCCGACAUGUAGCCGGUUUGUUGGCCACGAAUGACCCUUUUGAACGGUGCGUACAACGCUCCGACCGCGACCCCAGGUCAGGCGGGACUACCCGCUGAAUUUAAGCAUAUAAAUAAGCGGAGGAGAAGAAACUUACAAGGAUUCCCCUAGUAACGGCGAGCGAACCGGGAACAGCCCAGCUUGAGAAUCGGGCGGCCAUGCUGUCCGA